rnacentral:rRNA from 1 species
GACGAACGCUGGCGGCGCGCCUAACACAUGCAAGUCGAACGGAGCUUAGAGAGCUUGCUUUUUAAGCUUAGUGGCGAACGGGUGAGUAACGCGUGAGUAACCUGCCCUAGAGUGGGGGACAACAGUUGGAAACGACUGCUAAUACCGCAUAAGCCCACGGUACCGCAUGGUACUGAGGGAAAAGGAUUUAUUCGCUUUAGGAUGGACUCGCGUCCAAUUAGCUAGUUGGUGAGGUAACGGCCCACCAAGGCGACGAUUGGUAGCCGGACUGAGAGGUUGAACGGCCACAUUGGGACUGAGACACGGCCCAGACUCCUACGGGAGGCAGCAGUGGGGGAUAUUGCACAAUGGGGGAAACCCUGAUGCAGCGACGCCGCGUGGAGGAAGAAGGUUUUCGGAUUGUAAACUCCUGUCGUU